AUUGAACGCUGGCGGCAGGCUUAACACACGCAAGUCGAGCGAGCGGCGGACGGGUGAGUAAUGUCUGGGAAACUGCCUGAUGGAGGGGGCUAACUAAUGGAAACGGUAGCUCAUACCGCAUACCAUCAGAUGUGCCCAGAUGGGAUUAGCUAGUAGGUGGGUUAAUGGCUCACCUAGCCGACGAUCCCUAGCUUGUCUGAGAGGAUGACCAGGCACGCUGGAACUGCGACACGGUCCAGACUCCUGCGGGUGACAGCAGUGGGGAAUAUUGAUCAAGGGGCGCAAGCCGGAUGCAGCCCAGCCGCGUGUGUGCAGAAAGCCUUCGGGUUGUAGAGCACUUUCCGCGAGGAGGCGUUACUCGCAGAAGGAGCACCGGCUAACUCCGUGCCAGCCGCCGCGGUAAUUC
rnacentral:rRNA from 1 species